UACGAAGGGGGCUAGCGUUGUUCGGAAUUACUGGGCGUAAAGCGUAUGCAGGCGGACUUUUAAGUCGGGGGUGAAAUCCCGAGGCUCAACCUCGGAACUGCCUUCGAUACUGGAAGUCUUGAGUCCGGGAGAGGUGAGUGGAACUCCGAGUGUAGAGGUGAAAUUCGUAGAUAUCCGGAAGAACACCGGUGGCGAAGGCGGCCUGCUGGGCAGUUGGCUGACACUGAGGCGCGACAGCGGUGGGGAGCAAACAGGAUAGAAACCCU
rnacentral:rRNA from 1 species